GCCACCGUAGCUUAGUGGUUGAGCAGCGGUUUCGUAAACCGCAGGUCGUGGGUUCAAUUCCCAUCGGUGGCU
rnacentral:tRNA from 1 species